rnacentral:lncRNA from 1 species
CACAACUUAAUUGAUCUCUUUCUCUUAUAAUAAUACUACGUACAUCACAAAUCACCUUAUCAAAAACAGUGUGACACGCCUCAUAGUUUGUACUAUAAACCACAAAUCGUCUUACUAAUAAUAUUUCACAGAUGUGUUUUUUUUUUUUGUGUUUGUGUGUUCAAUCAGGUAAACUAAUUUGCAUAUUAUAACACCAGGUACCAGGACCACAGGAUUAAUAUUAAUAUUAACAUUAAAACUUAAAAAUAAUAUAAUAACAAGGAAUUAGUAGAAAAACAAUAAUGUAUUUUUACAAUAUUAUUUCAACUAAAAUCCAGAGACAUAACAGUAUUUCUA